GAUGAACGCUGGCGGCGUGCCUAAUACAUGCAAGUCGAGCGAACAGAUAAGGAGCUUGCUCCUUUGACGUUAGCGGCGGACGGGUGAGUAACACGUGGGUAACCUACCUAUAAGACUGGGAUAACUUCGGGAAACCGGAGCUAAUACCGGAUAACAUUUGGAACCGCAUGGUUCUAAAGUGAAAGAUGGUUUUGCUAUCACUUAUAGAUGGACCCGCGCCGUAUUAGCUAGUUGGUAAGGUAACGGCUUACCAAGGCGACGAUACGUAGCCGACCUGAGAGGGUGAUCGGCCACACUGGUACUGAGACACGGUCCAGACUCCUACGGGAGGCAGCAGUAGGGAAUCUUCCGCAAUGGGCGAAAGCCUGACGGAGCAACGCCGCGUGAGUGAUGAAGGGUUUCGGCUCGUAAAACUCUGUUAUUAGGGAAGAACAAACGUGUAAGUAACUGUGCACGUCUUGACGGUACCUAAUCAGAAAGCCACGGCUAACUACGUG
rnacentral:rRNA from 1 species